CCCUUAGAUGUUCUGGGCUGCACGCGCGCUACACUGAUGCACUCAACGAGUUUACGACCUUGCCCGAUAGGGUUGGGUAAUCUUUUUAAAAUGCAUCGUGAUGGGGAUAGAUUAUUGCAAUUAUUAAUCUUCAACGAGGAAUUCCUAGUAAGCGCGAGUCAUCAGCUCGUGCUGAUUACGUCCCUGCCCUUUGUACACACCGCCCGUCGCUCCUACCGAUUGAAUGAUCCGAUGAAUACCAUGGAUUGAGAGUACGAAUAGGUUCGCUUAUUUCUGCUGCUCGAGAAGUGGAGUAAAUCUUAUCAUUUAGAGGAAGGAGAAGUCGUAACA
rnacentral:rRNA from 1 species